ACUCAGCGACUUCCGUGGGAAUCACAAGGACUUCGUCUUUCAUUGCCUACUCUGCCUUCCGUCACAGUCCCUGGUUGGCUAGUGACCAAUUAAAAGGACCAGCCUGCUCAUCAGGAACAGGUGACAAGGUGUGUGAGGGAAGACAGAGACAGCAGAGGUGGACAGCUGCUGGCUAGACUUGAUGACAGAUGGGCCCGACUCAGUGAAGAUGGAGCGGCUGACUCUGCCGGACGUCAGGAGGACCCAGAGGAGUGUUUUAACAGUGGCUACUGAGUCCAGUCUUCUGAAUAUGAAGAUCUUUUGAGGAGGAGAAGGAAUUAGGAAAACAACCUAGUGUGGUUUAUUGUUAAUGCUCGAAGACUGCAGAAUCCCUGGCCUGUCUGCAGUUAAGAUGUGCUGGAGGAAGGUGGUGCUGGCACUCACUCGCCGUGUCUGCUCUCCUUGUGGAACUCAGUCCCCUGCUUCCAGGACAAGUCCAACCGACCCAUCAACCGUGAGUAUGUGUGACAGCAGUUUCUGGUGCUCACUGAAUCUUGCUUAGAAACUUGUAAAUGGUAUUGUGUCUGAGGAAGAGCUUCCAAGAGCCACAUUUCCUGGUGUGUUUGUAAUAUAUUUCACUUAACCAUGUACUAUGGGUGUGGUCAUAACUACAGAACCUGUCAGCAGCCAUGGAAGUUGAGAAUUAAGACUUACUUCUAUUUUUACAGCAUAUGUCUAGAAAUGCAGUUGCAAUUUUGGUAUAGUAAGUGCUUCUUUAUUUAAAGCAUAAUUGGAAAUAGAUCAGUGUAUUGUAGCAAAAAAAUAAAGAUGUGCAGUCGUGGCAAGUGAUGUACUAUUUAUGUGAGAGAGGUUGGUAAGUUCUGAUGCUCGGAUGUCCACUGUCAGCAUGGACUUCAGAAGAGAACAUAGGAAGUACACCGAGACUAAGGGAAGAUAGCUGUGACGUUGCAGAUACAGAACUGCCUCUGUCUUGGGUGUGCUGUUUGUCACCCCCAAUCACAUCCUCAGAUUACAUCCUCAGGGUGCUUGAUGGGUAAUUGCUGUGAGUGUUCUUACUCUCCCGCCGGGGGUCUGAGUAGGAGGAGAGCCUGUCGUAGUGUGUUUUCCUAUUGCGCACUGAAUUAUGCCCUUAAAGUCAUCAGUCUGUUCUGUAUUUUAGACCCCACUUAAAUUCUGGUGAAACCAUGAAUUCCUUUAACCUCAUUGAUACACAACAUUUGCUUGCACUUGGAGAUAUCCAUUGACACAGAGAAGCCUCUGUAGAUGCCCCAGAUAUAGAAGGCUGAACUAGACUCUUGGGCCUUAUCUGGGCUGUGCUACCCAAAUUACUGCUGUUAAAAACAGGAAAUAACCAGGCCAGAAGUCACUCCAUAUGGAUGCUGGGUGGAGAUCAGAGCUAGAGAAAAAAGGACAAAGGGGUGUGGAGGAUACAUGACUAACAGUAAAUAUCAGAGAGCGGUUGAUAUUAUCAGGGGUGUCAAGUGUGGAGCCCAGAGUUUCUGUUCAGUUCAGGUAGAGAGCUGAAGACUUGUAUUAAACCACUUUGGCUAGUUUUUUUUUAAAUCAUCUCUUUUUACACCAUAAAAUUAGGAAAUACCCCCCUCUCUUCCCCCUCCCUCCCUCCUUCUCUCUUUCCUGCCUUCUCCUCCUCCUCCCCCCACCUUUGUUAGUUUUUCCAUAGUUAGUAUGCCACCAAGUCAGGUAGGAGCACAAGUCACCUGAGCUUCCGGAUGUAACUCCUAACACUCAUAACAAAUUGGAGAGGUGGUUAUACUCCUGAGAGAAACGUAGCAGGGUAAGUAUAUGAGGAUGUUGUUGAAUGCAAAAUGAACAGUGUUUGAAAAAGAAUAGUCUUUAUUUCUCAGUAGCUACAUUGAAACAAAUACCAUUGGGGCCAUCGUGGACAAGAAGACAGGAAUCUUGAGUGUUGAAGGGAGUGUGACCCAGAGGCUGAAAGGGAUGGAUUAUUUGACUGGCGCUAGACACAUCAUACUCAGUUUGAGUCAUGCUUGAAAAAGAUGUUGGGCGACUGUGAAGUGCUGAUACACAAUCAACAGAAUUGCACACCACCCUUCUAGGAAAAGAUAACGAAACAGAGGGUUUAGUCCGAAGGGAAGGGAGGCUUUGUCUCUGGUAUCCUCUGCACUAACUGCUUGCUUUCUCCUGUGUUCUUGGCCUCCAGGCUGCCUGCUUUCCUCAACUUGCAGCACAGUGCGUAGCUACCGAGUAGGAAUGCUUUGUAACACUUCCAUAAUAAACUCACCACGAGUAAAUACAUCCAGAUAAAUCCAAGGAACUAUUGGUGUGACCCGGGAAUAAUAGUACAUUUUCUGGUGGUAAUGAAUAGAUAAGGUGAUAAAAUAGUUGAGCUGAGGGAUGUAGUAAAAUCUUUGGUGAUGAUUUUUCUAAAGAUGAAAGAAAGGAACUAUUUUGAGUGGUAGAACAUUUAUUUCAGCCGUCAGCCUGGGCCGACUGUGGUAGGCGGGUACAAAAGGAAGAUCACAGUGCUUGCUAACACUACUGUGGGGACGUAAAGCAGCAUGCGGUAGGGGCUUGUGGCAUUCAACCACCACCUCAUGUGGCUUCCUGAUGGAGGUGAAGUCCACACUGCCUCCUUACAGGGCAGCCAUUGAGGUUAGCAAGAUAAAGGAGUUAGUGGUGAGCCGUCCCUCUGAGGACCCGGUACACAGGGGCCCUGGGUCCAGAAAGGAAUGAUGGGAGCAGACUCUAGGGAGCUGUUUACACAGGACUGAUGUGCCUCCCAUGAUGACCGGAUAGAUGCACAACUUAGAAAGAUGACCUGGCAACACUGAAGGCAACUUUGUUGGAGUGUUGUGCAGGUGGGUAGAGGGACAGGUCAGGCAAGAUAAAGAGGUUCCUGCACUUGAAGGUAGUGGAUUCCCAAGAGAAGAGUCAGCAGACGGAUAAGGUAAAGUCAGCACAGCGACUUAGUUGCUGUGUAGGACAGUGAAACACAUGCCAGGGGAAGUCCAGGCCUGGAAUGAACAGGUGGCAGUGGGGCAUGGCAAAGCACACACUGGCCAGGUAACUGGAGAUGUGAGAGAAAGAGUGAGAGGGAAGCCCGCUUAAUGGACGUGGACUUCAAAUUUGAUGAGCAAACAGUUCAAAUGAGCAGGUGGUCUUGACCAGUGUAAACACCAUUUCCAAAGCAGUGGUCAUUCUCUUGAUUUUUUUUUUAUUGUUUUAUUGGUUUGUGACAAGGUCUACCUUUAAUAGCCUUCACUGGCCUUGAACUCACCAUGUGGCCCAGGCAUGCAUGAAACUCAAUCUUUCUGCCUCAUCCUCCUGAAUGCUGGAAUUAUAGGCAUGCACCUCACCUGGCCUUUGUAAUUUUAAAUUUGGUACAAAGUUAUUGGUAGUAUAACAAUUCCCGUUGUAUAUGUGUAAGGUAUACGGUAUGACAUUUUGAUAGAAUUAUAAUUACUUACAGUCUAAUAAAUUUAUAUGUGCAUUUCAGAUGGUUGAGUUUAUGUAUAUAAAAGCACCUAAAUUCCCCUGUUAUGUUGAAAUAAGAACGGCGGGGCUAUGUCCCCAGCACCCCAGCUGCCUGCUUAGCUCAUGCCCGAAAUAACAACACACAAAUUGUAUUCUUUUAAACACUGCUUGCCCAUUAUAUCUAGCCUCUUCUCAGCUAACUCUCGCACCUAGACUAGCCCAUUUCUAAUAAUGUGUGUAAGCACCCCAAGGUGCGCUUACCAGGAAGAUUCUAGCCUACGUCCAUCCUGGGUCAGGGCUGCCUGGGAGAGCAGAGCUGUCGGGUCUGUCUGAGGAGUCUUACCUCACUUCCUCUUCCUCCUGUUUACUCCUCCCACCUAUGUUUUAACCUAUCAGGGCAAGCAGUUUCUCUAUUUAAUUAACCAAUGAAAUCAACGGAUUGAUAUAUGACACUCCCACAUCACUGUCAUGCAAUAUUGACUGCUGUUCUGCCAUACUUCCCAUUGGUUAAUCUCAAAUAACAGAAACUAUAUCCCUUUUAACCUAGAUCCCUCAACCCCCUUGCCAGUAUUCUGUUUUGUUUCUAUAUACUUGAUUUUCUUUAUAGUCCAUAUAUGAAAAGGAAGUGAAAUUAUCUUAAGUUCCUGAAGAUCCUUUGGUAUUAAUGUCACACAUUAAUGCUUGUGUGUCUCUCUUCCCAUAGCUACCUCCUUACACUGUGUGCAUGAGUUUUAUUGAUCCUCGAUCUAUACCACUUUGUAAAUGAGCAUUUUCUCCAUUAAAGCAUUUUAAUGGUGUCUUGUUUUCUCCUUUGGAGGUUCAAUUUUUUUUCAUAUUUCAAUAGUUAUCCUUUAAACUACACGAGUCCUGGAAAUUUGCUUCCUGUGGGUAUGGGUAUGGGUAGUUUCACACCUUUAACCCCUGCACUCGAGACCAAGGCUAGGCUGGCCCACAUAGCAAGUUCCAGGCCAGCCAAGGCUAUAUAGUGAGACUUUGCCUCGUUUUACUAGUUUUGUGACUACCUUAGACUAUGCUUAAUAGUGCGUAUUGAAGGACCGAAGUCAAGAUGUUGAUAAGGGUUGCUGACUGGUUUUCUCAAGCCCUUGCAGCAUAGUAGACUCAUUGUUAGCAGACUGUGGAAUUUCUCACCAUUUCUAUAGGUGCUGUUGCCACCUUUUCUGGUGGUCUUUAGCAAAAAACAGUACAUUACCUUUGUUUCACUUAUACAACAGGUCAGGUAUGAGAUGCUUGCCCACCCUGUGUGUUUUUCCCAGUAGGCCCAGCUUUGUUCACGUGUUCCCCACUCUGUUUUUCUUCUGCGGAUGACGGCCAGUGUUCAUUCCCUGUAUUUCUGUGGAACUACGACUUCCUGAAAUACAGUUUGUAAAUCCUGAAUGUGAAGUACUUGGGCGAUCUAUUCUCCCUCCCUUCUGCCUUCUAAUUUCUUUCUUUUUUUUUCCCCUUUUUUUGGUUGUUGUUUUCCUCAAGAUACAUAAGCUUUUUUUCCCCCUUGGGUGUAUUAGUGGUGUUUUGUUUUUCCCCUGGCUAAAGCUUGCUCCUCUAUACUGAGGACUUUCCUCCUACUCAAAAAUUAGACAGUAUUUGUUUUAUUUUUAAGAAGUAAUUUUCAUCUUUUUCCUUAAAGUUGACACAUUAAAAGGAAAGCAUGAAGCAAAGAUUUAGAUUCAGAUGGGUUUUUAGAGUAAAUCCCCAGCGUGGUGCACUGAGUCAUCGGUCUUCCCCAGCCGUUUGUGGUGUUCCCGUUAUUUUCUGUUUCCACACUUGGUUUUGCAGCAGGAUGCCAUGAAGCACUUGGAUGUCAGCCCUCGAGUAGAGGGCAUGAGCAUAGUCUUUACAAACGUUUUAUUGUAAAAAAGUCAAGUGUACAGCAAAGUCGAAAGAGUUUGAUAGUAAACCCUUCCACAGUUCGUAUUUUAGCACUCUUUUAUUAAAACCAUGUAUUUUGCCAGUCAACGAUGGCAUACACCUUUAAUCCAGCCUUUAGAAGACAGAGGCAGGCAGAUCUCUGCGAGUUCGAGGCCAAGCUAGUCUACAGGGCUAGUUCCAGUACAGGCUCCAAAGCGACAGAGAAACCCUGUCUGAAAAAAAAAACAAAAAAAGAAAGAAAAACAAACAAAACAUGUAUUUAUUGCUGUAACACUUUCUAAACCAUGAUUUUUAACUCCAAAAAGAGUCUUAAAGAAGUUUUCCCUAAUCUAUAUUUGGCUUGUUUUUAAUUUGUAGAUUUGCUUUUGAGGACUCUUGGAAUUGAUAUUAUAGUACUGUAGAUAGUGUACAGCUCAGUAUGUAUCGAGGAAAAUUGUUUCCCAGCAUAUUUUUGUGGUCUAACUUGCUGACUUGACUUCCAAGGCUUGUGAGGUGAUACAUGUAUUUCUUAAACCUGGUUCCCUGUCACAAGUGUCCUCUGCUAACAGUGGUUGUCCUUCCCAGGAUGCUACAGUAGCUGGGGAAUGGGAGGUUGGGCUGGGCAGAAACAGCUGCCUUAAAAGCAGACCAUGUCACAGGUUCCUUUCCUGCUGGCCCGAUGUUGCUGUGCAGGGAAGCCCUUCUCAGGGAAGCAGACUGUCCUGGAGACUGUUCCUCCUGAGAGCUGUUUACAGGGAGCAGCAGGUCUUCAAAGACCUCAGGUCAAGGAGCUCCAGCCCUCUGUCCAGGCUGAGAGCCACCACCAUAGAUUCCCAGGAGGUCAUGACCCUUGAUGGGCUCACAGCCUGGAGACAGUUUGUAGCCUUGCUGUAACAGCUAGCUGGCCUCUGCUUCUGUCUUAGCACACAGCCAGCCAAACAGAAAAUACACAGCCUGCCUGGAAGGAGUCACAGAUGCUCACCAAAGCAGUGUACCAUACUGUUUUCCCCAGUUUCCCUCAGUUUCCCAUCCAUAAAAAUGCCUUGGAUUUAUGGUUACACCGAUGGUUUCCUUAUCAACAAUGCAUGACUUCUAUGAUAAACCACUGAAUAUAGAUUAGUAUCCAUUCUUAGAAACCUGAGGGACGAUUUCCCCCACCACCACUUUCCUAAGCAUCACUUUGUCAUGGUGAAGUUCACCAGACUUUGCUCUGGAGUUAGGAUUUUGAGGCUGUUAGGUGAGGCUCUCUCUGCCCAUGAGAUGGGGGGUGGGGUGAGGUCCAGUAAGUAGAAUGGGUGACAUUCUUGCACUCAAACGGGGAAGGUUCCUUUUCUGGCAGGAGUUUUGGUGAUUGCUAACCAGCAUUAUGCCAUGGCCUCCUCCAUGAGACACACUGUGAUCCACCGUCACCUGGGCUCUAAAUCCCCUGCUUCCCAACAGAGGGGACAGUUGUGUUUUAGCCCACAAAGUCUUGUAACUCCAAGAAUACCCAGAGAAAUCAUAUCACCUAAAUUAAGGAUCUAGCAGGUUCAGUGUUCAGACCAGCAUUCUGUUGGAGCAAAUGGUUUUCAGGGGGGGCUGAUACAUUGUUUUUCCUGCUGAUGUCCCCCUCGCCCCACUCUGUGCUUCCUCACCUCGCUUCUUUACCUCCCUCUGCGUCAGGACUCCGGACAGGGCAGCCAGCAGCUUUACAGAGGCCCAGAUGCUAAUGGACACUAUUUGGCUUUUACAAAAUUAUCCAGGAGCAAAGGGGGACAUACACAACUUUUCUCUUGCAUAUUAUUUUCCUUAGUGUUAAAAUAUAAAGAUAGAUGCAAAGACUCCCCCCACACACACACCUCUCAUCACCGUGGUAUGCACAGUUUAUAUGAAUCACCUUCUAAAUCCAUGACUAGGGUUGAGUUAGCUCCAAGGUUAGAUGUGCAGGAAAUAAGACUGAUGAGGUCAUAAGCCCUGUGGAAUCCUGAGGAGGGUGUCUUAGGAAUGCUGCUCUUAGGCUGAGUCAUGCCCAUGUGGAUGGAACCUUAGCUCCCAAGUGUUACCUGGAUAAAAUACUAUAACCUGCCACCAGCUUUUAAGUUUAGAUGAAACUUAAAGUUGGGAUGUGUAUUCAUAGACCCUGAGGCUGCAUAGCAGGUUAACAAAGCAAAUAAGACUCUUCAUUUGCCACCAUGUGUGGUCAGCACGCAUGUACUUCUAACAUGUUGGUAGCUGAGGCAGGAGCAUAGAGCUCAAGGCCCACCUGGGCUGCAGAAUGAGCUGAAGGCCAGGUGGGCCACACAGCUAGAUCCUGUCUCAAAAUGAAACAAGACCAGCUAUGCAGAAAGAAUAUAAAUUAUGAGGUGUGACUUUAUUUUAGAAACUUGGUAUUGGGAACUGCAAUGGGGUAUUUUGUGCUAUUACCUCUGGAAUACUUACCAGAAAAAAAAAUUAAAGGGGGCUUUUAGCAUUUCAGACCAGUCAUGAAUAUUUUCCAGGACGGCAUUUUUAUGUUUUUAUUUAACUGUGAGAUUUCCUCACUUGAAGUUGAAAUGUAACUACCAUGUGCCAAACUGCCAACUCACCCAUAAUGUACCACGUGGUAAUGGUGUCAAGCCCAGAACAAGUUACUGUGGGCACAUUUCCUAUGGUCAGUGUUCCGGGGCCAGAGUAAAUAGGGAAAAGUCAUUUUGUGUUCGUGUUCCUCAUUCAUGUAAACUGUCCUCAGCAUGGAGUCCGAUUCAACACAGAUAGAAGAGGCCCGUGACAGCAACACAUGUCAGAGGCAUGCACCGUGGGCCAGGCACUGUACCAUGUUCUUUUGUGGCAGGAGACCACUGCAGUACCCUCCACACACAGAAAACUAAGGGUUGGGGAACUAAAGUCAUUUUCCUGGCAGUCACACAGCCAACAAAUGCAGGAACCAGGAAUCAAAUCGCAGUGGUCUGCCAGAUACACCCAAGCUUUGAAUUUGUAUCCUAUUUGGUUUCCUGACUCAUUUUAGAUUUUAUCUGUUGGACCAUUAUUCAGUCUGAUGUAGUCACGUAUCUUCAGUAUAUUGCGGAAGAACACUCUCAUCCAACUGGAUGCCCUCAUGGCAUUCCUUGUUCUAGGUCACCUUGUGACCGCUUAUUAAUGAUGAAUGCUCUCUGCCUGUGGGCUCUACAGAAUGUGCCGUGACCAUAAGAGAUGCUUUUCAACAAAGGCAGGUCACAGAGUAGCUGACUCAACUGCCAAGAGUAAGAAAAGUUGUGUGGCUCAUGGCGGGCCAACUCCCUUUUCAUGAUUAGAAGCAAAUGAUAGCUCACUACUCUUGCGCCUUCCAGCAGGUUCAGGUCCCAUAAUUUAAAUGCAGCACUGCAGCCCAGAAAUCAGUUGUCUUUUGAUAUGAUUGCUGCCUGUUCCUAUGUAAUUCUUCUGUGGGGGGAGCUUGGCCUCCCGUGCAUUCCGGGCCUGCUUCCCCUUUGCAGUGAUGUUAUCCACCAGAUAGACAGAGUAGGAAAGGGCUGAAGUUGUCCCUCCCUCUGCCACCUCAGAGGAACACACCCCUUCUGGGUACUCCCAAGAUGUCUUAUGACUCACCAGUGUUUGCCUUCCUGACUUAGGAGUUGGGGUAAAUACCCAGCCUUUGAAUGAGAGUCAGAACUUACAGAUCUGUGUAACAUGUUCACACAUAUGUAGAUCUUCACAGCUGCUUGGAUAGUUUUCUCUGUCCCCAUCUCACUGAUGAGGAGGUAGCAGCUUGCCCCAUGCUGACCCUUGGUUGGUGAGUGACAGCCAGGGCCUCAACUCUGCAGGCCUACAUCUUGUUUCCUGGUUCCCUUGUGGCUCUUCCUUAGUCUUUUACAAAGGUCAUGUGUUGUGUUGCUCUUGUCCCAAUCAACGGGACUUGGUUUUUUCCCUUUUUGCUCUCUUCUCCCCCAAUUAGCAGCCUCUUGCCCCUCCCCCACGCGUUUUCACUUAAAAGUUGUGCACUCCCAAGUGGUAGAAUCUCUCCAAAUUGCAAGAUAGUGACAUUGAAUCUUUUGUUUAGGCCAGGCCGGCUACAUCUUGUUAUUGUAGAGAUUUGACAAAGUAGAAAGCUAUGACAUUUAGGUAAAGCACAAGAGCAAAUUGAAUGUGCAAACCAUGGUUGUGUUAGUGAGAAGUAGUGAAGAUGGGAGGUGUGUAUACCUGGGCAAUGAGGAAGUGAGCAAGAGAAUGUGCGUGGGCGGCCCAUGUGCUUGGCACAAAGGAGGCCUGAGAGGUUGCUGGCUAGGACAAGCUGUGUAAUUAAACAGUUGAACAGGUCCUACCAACAGCAGGGCGGUGUUCUCCACAGGCCUGCAGGGGAACCGGGAAAGCGAGAAAGCUGGAAAUGUCUUUGGACACAUGGAGCUAGACACGAGUUUUCACAAGCAGGUAAGCUGAAGGAUGGAGAGUCCAGGCAGCAGUUCAUAAAUUAGAAAGAAAGAAAGAAAGAAAGAAAGAAAGAAAGAAAGAAAGAAAGAAAGAAAGAAAGAAAGAAUGAAUCAGCCCAAUAUUCAACUUGGCUUUCUUUUAGGGAAUAUUGGUCAAAGUGGGGAUUUUUAAUUUCACAGAGAAAUUAAUAUUGCCACCAUAGUAGAACACAGGACCAAAGUUAAUCGGUUUUUUUCAGUGAUUGCGAUACUGGCCUGAAAUUGUAUGUUUUAUGUCUCGCUCUCUAGAGAGACCUUCCUCCUCUAGUGUUGGAAGAUUGGAGGCCUUCAGCUCAGGAAGACCAAGGCUAACUGACUGUGUUUGUCCUGUGCUGUGUGCCAGUCCCCGGUCAGCACUGAGCUGAGAAUGAUGGAUAGUGGUUCAGGGCAGCAGUGUGGCCUUUACCAUUGUGCGGACCUAGGUGACCCUUGAAAGGGAGGCUCUAGGAGGAGAUUUUGGCACAGAGGGGUCACGGGGAGCCUGUAGAAAAGGCUCUAGAGCAGUGGUUCUCAACCUUCUAAUGCGGUGACCUCCAACCAUAAGAUUAUUUUUGUUGCUACUUCAUUGUUUUGCUACUGUAUGUAAAUGUCUGUGUGGUCUUGAUGGUCUUGGGCGACCUAUGAAAGGGUCGUUAGAGCCAUAGGUUGAGAAGCGUUGCCCUACGGAGGGGCAAAUUCAAUGUUAGAGGAUCAAAAUGAAGGCAGUACACUGGGUGCCUCCAUUUCAGAAGCCUCAUGGAAUCUCUGGAUACGCCCCUGGGAAGUUUCCAGGCUCUUAGGAGAGCCCCACCCUAAGCCACUGCUUGCCACUUCCUGUUCCUAUGACUGUCCCUUGUUGAGGGGAAUAAACAAAGAAGGCAGUGAAAGCUGCAACAAGGAAUCUGAAGCCAGCCCCAUGUCAGGUGCCCCUGAGUGCAACAGUGGCUACUAGGCUGUUAGAGCUGGGGGACAGAGGACCCAGAUUGUUCUUCUGCGGUUCCCAUGGCCAAGGGUGAUGAAACCAGAGAAAGGUGAUAGGAUGCCAAACACAGAUGGCAGUUGUUCUGGAAAGAGAAGCCUAGCAGCGUCCACAGAAUUAAAAGGACCUUUUUUCUCUGCAUUGCAACCUCAGCACGGUUGAGACACCCCUGUACAGUCCUGCGCACCCUCAUGUGCAGACCCCAUGAGCAUCCAUUUUCUUUUCUCCAUCCAGUCCCCCCCUCCCAUUCUGCCUUUUGGAAGUACACUGCUCCACUUUUUUAGAAGUGGUGAACUUCGACCUCCGAGGCUGCUUGGGGUGGGAGCUAAAAGGAAGCGCCGUGGAGCCCAAAAGUGUUGUGUCAACACUGUGGUUCUGAGCGUCUAAUCUUUUACUACCUGUAGGGACAGGUGGAUGUGGAGUUGCUGCUGGCAGGGAAGGCCAAAUUCUUUCAAGGUUAUGAUUGUGCAAUAGCGAACAUCUUUGAAGCUGCAGGAGGAGGUCAGGGCAGCUCCUUCACAGAGCUCGCUCUGCUGAGCUCUUCGCUUUACAGGACCUCAUUUGCCUGACUCUCUGAAGUGAUUUCCAUGCCAGUGUAAAGCUUACAGCUGGGCUUUCAAAGAGUGGCCGUGCCAUCUGUAGUGACAGGAAGGACAUGUGGUGGUGGUGGUAGGAUCCCUCCUUUUAAAAUGUUCCUGAGGUGCUAAAGUGCUCACUUGGACAGCUGUUUUUUAAGACCGUCUGUUCUGCUGUUUGAGGAGAAAGGUGGGAAAAGUUUUCAUCCUCCAGCCAGACGUGGCCGUAAGCAGCCGGCGGCGGACGGUAUGGGAAGGCUGUGCUGAGCUUGCGUCUGGGGCUGUAACCGGACAAGAGGAAGUUUGAGAAGUUCAGGGUAUUUUUAGCUGAUCAGGGCUGCUGUGAAAUAGGUCUCUCCCCCACCCUGUAGUCCCAAUGGAAGAGUCAGCAGUGAGUGCCCUUCACUCUGAUUGGAUGUGUUACCAUUUCGGACAUGCAGGAGAAAGGUGUGCAUGGUCAAUGUGAAGAAGUAGCUUCCAAACUGACAUCUGUGGACAUGGCAUCUCUUUUUUCCUCCGUGCGUCCAGUGUCCCUCCUUUCUGCCAAGUGUGUGGUGUGACCAGAAGUUCUUUCUCAGAGCUGUGGUUGCCCCCAAAAACCUGGGGACUGGAGAACUCUUGUUUCCAUUCCUCUGUCUGCUCUGAGGCCCUGACGUAGAAAUGGUGUGGCUGCUACAGUACUUUGGGUGCAGUGACGUAAGCAACUGGGGGUGUUGAUUAAAGCCCUCUGGCAGUACAAGUGCAGCUUCAGUGGGUGAUGAGUGCAGGGGACCGUCCCUGGGCCCCUUGCAAUGGUGAGCUGGUUAGUGUAUGUAACAAGAAAAGCAUACAUCCCUACUGGAGGGCUUUUAACAUGCCUUUUUUGUAUUACCAUGCCUUUUUUAUUUGCAUGGUGGUUGCCUUGCUGGGCGGCCCAGCCUGUGGCACAGUGAAGAAGUGCUGGAACAGGACUGGGAGCCCCUGGUCCUGCCUCUUCCUCUGACUCGCCACCUCUCCCUACUUGUGGAAUUGGGAGCAGAUAACCACUUCCCUGAGUCGAGUAUGCUCAGAAGAUCUAGCAUAAUAUAUACUGGAAAAGUCCUAACUCUGCUGCUUUCAGACUGAGCCGACUCUCACCUGCUUGCCUUGCUCUAAUUGGAGCUCUCUGUGGUCUCCCUGUAUCGUUUCCCACUUUUGAGUGUUGCUUACAGGCCCAGCCUGUAACACCCAGACCCGCUGACUUCCCAGUGCUUCUGCAGCGUUUUCAGUGUGAGAGCUUUGCUCGAGUAUUACCCUCCAGGGCAUUCCUGUGAACUUGAUGUGGUCCUGCCCUGUGGUGGGGGCUCUGCCCUACGGUGGGUGGGAGCCCCAUUCCCUCCCCUUUAAAGGGCUUUGUUUUCCAUUGCAAUGGCUGUGCAAGGCUGCCACCUUGUGGCCAGAGCCAGGCAAUGUGUGACUUGCUUCAUGCUCCAGGAAGGACAUUUAACAGUGAUCCCAACACUCACUGCACACAUCAGUCCAGCUUAAGGAUUUAGCAUUUCUGCUUUGGCAUUUUUUAGUCUGUGUUUCAGUUUCUGUGGCUGUAGAGUCGCCUUCCAUACGCCUUUCUGCUCUGCUCCAGGCCAGUCUGUCUGAAAGGUGAAUCAGUUCUCUCGGGUCCCAGGCUCUAACCCAGCUGUCAGGAGCUCUGCCAGCCUCUCUGCUCCACAGUGCCUUCCCCUCCAACUUACCUGGCUGAUGAACAUUGAUCUGACAGUCACCUCAACCCCCGCCCCCCAGUAUCAACUUCUUUAUUAACUGCGCCUGGCUCACUUCCCUCAGCAUGCCUCAGCUCCUUUUUUGGAAGAAAAAGAAAGAAAUGGAAAGCCAAAUGGCUGGAAGGAGAAGAGGGAGGGAGAGAGGAAAUCUGAGAGGAUUUAACAACUGUGUUAUAAUCAGAUGUUUUCCUUCUUCCACAAGCUAGUUGAAAGUAGAGACUCCCUUUUGUCUCUGGGUCUCUAUGUAAUAGGAUCGUGCCUGGCAUCUGACCAUUGCUCACUGGCUACGAGAAGGAAUAAAGGAAAGAGAAUCAAAGCAGGCAGAGAGGCUGUCUUUGAAGUGGUGGAGCUCAGAAAAAACUUGGGGGUGCUCACGGGGUUUAGAGGACUGGCCAGGAACCAAGUGGGGGUGCUGAAGCUAACUGGUGAGCACUGCUCACAAACCCCGCCUUUUUGCAUAGAAAGUGUCCUCAGCCACCCCCAGUGCCAGCAGGCGCAUUGCUUAAAAGUUUGUUCCUACCACCCUCUUUCCAGACCUCUUCAGUAGCGCUUUAGUCCUGGCCCCCGUCAAAUGACCCACCCUACUCCCUGUGGUCUGUACCUGAACUUAAGGGCUUAGCAACUGGAUGCCCAUUUGAUAGAUGGUGUGGCAAAGGCACUUCUGGAGCGUUUGGUUGAACUUCUCUGAGGAUAAGACACUGUGCAGGUCACCAUGGGAACCAUCAAAAGAGGUUGGAGCAUGCUACAAGAGCCAUUCAGAAGAGUGACAGCAGAGAAGAGACUGUCGCAGGCAGCUUGCGACUAGUGGCCAAGACCAUGGCUGGGGAAUAUGGUACUGAUUUAAGAAAACACCUAUAGAAGAUGCCUUUCUCCUAUGAAAUGCCCCAUUCCAGGCCCGUCCUGUAGUCUCCUCCCCUCACACCUUGGAGUGCUCAGCCUUCAUGAAAAGAUUGUGGCCCCCAGGCCUCACUCAGGUUGCAGAUAGAAAGCAGCAAAUGCCGUGUGAAGUUGAGCACACGGGUACCAGUCAGCACCUCGCUCCCUUCCUUGUGGACCUCUUCUUUAAAAUUCUGUACAAACAGCUCUGAGUUCACAGAGAAGCUUCUGCUGCUUUAGACAGAGCCAGCCACUUCCUCUCAGAGCCCCAUUUCCCUUGAUGACCAUGCCAUCCUUUCUUUACAGCCCUAGCACUUGACACGAUGUCUGUGUGCACUGUGGACUUGAAAGUGUUGUCGGUUGAAAGUACUUGACACGUACGGAGCCAGGGAACAUGAGUUGUUUCGACACCAUCAGCGUGAUUGCUGGGAGUCCAGAAGAGGCAGCAUGUCAGAAUGGAUCUGGGGUCUCAAGUAGGCUAUACUGGCCUCGAACUUACGAUGUGGCUGAGUCUGGCCUGGAAUUCCUAAUCCUCCCACUCACACACCCCAAAGUGCUAGAGUUCAUGGCUGUGCUACUCUAUGCUGCUUCAGAGUCUUCUUUAUAAGCAAGAGUGCCCUGCGAGCCUGCCUUCAUUUCCUGUCAUGGCAUUCACCUCAGUUUCCUCCUUGUGACCUUGUGGCUUGGGUCUUGUUGCCGGUGUGAAGCCCCUCAACCACAGGACUGGCUCUUCUGAAACAAAGACUUUCCUUCAGGUACGGCCUUUGGCCUGGCUCUCUUUGCUGUCUUUUGGGUCCCUCUGCCCUCGUGACUGUAAUGACCUGGAAAGUAACAACAUGCCGGCGGCAGGUGGUCCUCCAGAGCUGAGUCACCACCCUGGGAACAGUGCCCUGGGCAGGCUGUCCCAGGCUGACUGGGUCUUCUCCAUUUGGCCUGCAAGCCUGUGAGGGCUCUUUCAGUGUGACAGGGAUGGGCAGAGAACAUGGGAAAUUUCUGGCAGAACACACAGAAGGUUUUCCCAUAAUUGCAGUUAAGGUCCGUGGUUGGCCAUCUUAUUUCAGUACACCCAAAUUAUACACUUACAGAUGUCUUUUAGAAAUAGAGGGAGGGAAUUCUUAAAUGGGGUUUUGUUUGAACUUGUGGUUUGAGAGAGUGAAGACUAGUGUGGCAUGGGGAGAAAUAGAGACCAUUGGUAUUGUAUUAAAAUAAAACAUGGCUGUGAGGUUCAGGUUGUUUUUGUGGGGGGAGGUGUUAAUGCAGGCAAGCAUGCACACACACGUGGAAGCCACCUAUCACCACCCUACAGGUUUGAGACAGGAUCUGUCAGUAAGAUGGAAGCUCCCCCUUGCCUAAGCUACUAAGCUAGCUGGCUAGCGGGUUCUUUGGAUCACCUGUCCAUAAUGAGGGGGUUCCAGGAAUGCACAGUCACGCCUAGCUUUUUAUGUGGGUGCUGAAGGUCUGAACGUGAGCCUUAACGCUUUUAGAAUAAGUGUUCUUAUCCGCUGAGCCAUCUCCCCACCCUGGAUUAUUUUCAUUUAUUUAUUUAUAGACAUUCUGUUGGUUGCUUUAAAAAGUUCAGAUGCUUAUCAUGUCCAAAGCAAGAGAAGAAAAAAGUUCCUUUUGAAAGCUCCUUCGUACAGCCAUCUGGCUUAGACACCCAGCACGCAGCAGAGAAAGAUGGUCUCAGUUUACCGAAUCUGUAGCUGGAAACUUACUUCCCUCUUUGCCUGAGAGGCAAACAACAAAAGAAAACAUGCUGGUCUGACUGACCAACCAGUCAUGUCAGCCAAACUUCCCAAAAACAACACAAAAGCUCUCCUGACUGAGUGGUGACUGUUGGGAAACCAAUAAAACUGUUACAAACAAGCAAAACGUGCAUGAUGCAAAUGUUCCACCAUGGCAAACUGUGAUGUCCCCUCUAGAGCUUCCGGAAAGGGAAGGGAAAACAGUGGGGCUUUUGCUUUCCAAGUAUUGACCCUCUUAAAACUUUUGAAAGUUGAGGUUUUUUUUUCAGUUUUUGACCACAUACACCAUGUGACAGAUAAUUGUGUUGCCAAGCUCAAGUGUCCUACAGGGAAAAGCCAGCCUUGAUUGACUAGUCCUUUCUCAGCACUGGGAUCGGCCUGGGGCCUGCCGGAACUUUGCUGCUCCACUGAGUUCAGAUGCCUGGGUGCACGCUUACAGUGUAGCCUGUGGUCCAGAAGUUGGGACUUGCACCUUAUUUUUCUGUUUGUCUUGUAGUGUCGUGUACACAAAAUGUAAGAAUGGCCAAGAGGUUUCCUAAUACCCCCUUCCCUCCUUCCUCCUUGCAGUACUGUCCAUGAAACCCAUUCCUCCUAGUUUUAUUAAAUCAGAAUUGGGGGAAAUUCUAGAAUCCAGAAUCAGACCCAAUUCCUGUACCUUCGAUUUCAGGUCAUCCAGAGUUAAUCACAGUUGAAGUUUGGGGCCAAUUGGUUCUAUAGACCUCCCUCUCCAGGCUCCCUGAACUGGAAGAGUGUGGUCUGGGGAGGGAGGAAGCAUCCUGCUCUAUUUUGAGACCUAUGAGAGAACUGACUUGUUUGCAUAGAGGUUACAGAAGAACCAGUCUUGGUGACCACAUGUCAUCACUGAGCAGUGGACCCAAAGUGAGUCUCCUGUACCUGCGAAAUGUUUGAGGGUGGCUCUGACCGACCAUACAGAGGCCUCCAAGGGGCCUCGAGUGUGCUUGGCAGAGGCUCCAGCAGGCAUGGGUUUGUUUAUCUUGCUUUUCUGAAGUUGAAGCCAAUGUCCUUAAUGGCUUUGAAUGUUCAGAAAACUCAGGUUUUUUUUUUUUUUUUUUUUUUUUUUUUAGGCAGAACAGCUUUUCAGGCAUGGGUAAAAUCUCUUUAGGUGAGGUUGAAAGCAGAACCCAGCCUCACACUUAAUGUCAUUUGGUUUAAAAAAAAAAAGUCUCAUUUUGGAGGAAAUGAAAAAUGGCUUGCUUACUUCAGACAAAGGACGGCAUCAGUAGGCCUGGGCCCGCUGGGGUCACAGGUCUGGGAGUAGAGCCAAUCCCAGACAGGCUGGCCGCCGGGUCUGGAGCCCGGGACUCCCAGUCCAAACCACAGAAGAGGUUCCUGCAUGUCAUUGGCUUUUGCAGAAAAUUCUGGAUGGGAAAGGAAAGCCACUGUUUAAAACAAAGUAGAACAGAUGUGUGUGUGCUAUCGGCAGGCUUUUCAACAACCUGGGAAGGCCUGGCUGUGUGUUACACAUUUACUAGCUCUUGCAGAAAGAAAUGGAAAAAUGAGUGUUGAACGUCUGUCUGCCAGAAUUGGACCUCACAGGCCUUUGUGGGGUUUUCCCUUUAGAUGAAAACUUAUAUCACAGUAGUUCUUAAUAAAACAAGCCUUCCCACAGGAGAAAGAAUUGAGCAAUGUCCUUAGAACAUGGUGAGCUCCAGGGCCUGAGUAGACAUCCCAUGUAGAAGAUGCUCUGGGCACUUAGAAGAUAGAGCAGAGGAGGAAAUCGUGCAGGGGCCGGUGAGGGCUGCUUAGGGAAAGCAGUUAACUGACCCAUGCUGCCCAGCUGAGACUACAGGGAGGAAGGACUCAUUUCCUCCUAAACCUGAGGGACCAGCUGCCCCUGCCCCAGGAGACAGCAGACCACAUGCUGAGCUGCCCCAGCCAGAGAGGACACAAGACAUUCAGCACCCGUAGCACGCUGGCGCUCAGCCACCAGCUUUUCCUUCAUAAGCACGUAAGACAGUGUAAUGCUGUCUCUAUUUGUGUAAGGGCAGGAACCUCAGCCAAGAGAUUAAAUAAUUUGUCUAAGGAGAAAAUAAAGUCAAAGGCAUGGGAUUUGUACCCAGAUCUCUGCCAGGAAGCCCUGUGAGCAAAUCUGCAUGUCCUUCUAGGUAGGAUUUCAAACAGCUGUCAUUCAUGCUUUAGUUCUCAUAGCGGCCCCCUUAUUGCAAAGCUUGCAUUCCCUGGAGUGUGUAAACCUAGCUUGUCAGUGUGAAGGGGAGGUUCUCCUACACAGCUGUUCGUAGCUCCAGUGACACUCAGUGCUGGCUUUCCCUCCUCAGAGCCCAUGGAAGGGAUGUGGAGGGAUACCAUCUUGCCUAGUUCUUAGGACCUAUAUUGUCUAAAUAUCUAGGAUAGGAAAUUUAUUUUAAGAUGAUUUUAUUUUUACAGAAAGACCCGCUAAAGGAAAGAGCUUGGCAAAGUGAGCCACCCGUGUGUCUGUUCAUGGUGGCCUUUGCAGGAGUCCCUUUUCUGGAAGUAGGUCUUGUCAUGACACAAAGAGAUAAAAUAAUCACAGUAGUACUCCACUCAGCCCGUGUGUGUGUGUGUGUGUGUGUGUGUAUGUGUGUGUGUGUUGUGUGUGUGUGAUGUGGGUGCUGGAAACCAGACUACAGGCCUCUGAGAGAGUAGCCAGUGCUCUUAACUGCUUGGGCCAUACCCAGCCCAUACCUAGGGUUUUCAUUUCUUUCUCCAGAGCAGGGCCUUAUCAUGGCCAUGUCCUGCAGAGUGGCUAGAUUCAGGCUGGAGGCGUUGCCUGCUCCUGGGUCUUGGCCUCCCCUUCCUUUGCCAUUCUUUGUGAGGCCAAAUGUCCUCACUUAAAGUUGCAGGGAACACUUCUUUGCAUCUUGGUUGUGCUUCAAAAGUCAUGUCAGUCUGAGUGUGAUUGGGGCUGGUGACAUAACUUGUAAAAGGAGUCAGGAAACAGAAGAGGACCGGUGUUGGGCUGAAGGGCCUUUAGAGGAUAUGCUACAGUCUUUCUCCCCCUCCAGCCAAACCAUGUUAGAGACAGACAUGUGCAUACCCUGUGCAUGAAGGCUAUCCCAGCCACCCUGGGACGCUGACCCAGGCCCCACCGGCUAGUCCUGGCCUGUGUCUAUCACAGUGUUUCUCCCCAAUCCUGGUGUCAUCUGUGUGUCUUACAACCCCAGGGUGACUAGCACCAUAUGGCUAAUCUGUCUACAGAAGACGUGGCAUGUCCCUUCCAUGUGCAUGGUUUAUGGAGUCUGGCACCUCUUCCUGUACUCUGGCUUCACUCCUCCAGCCCCUGGAGUACCAUGAAGGCAGUAAAGCUGUGGGACCUGAGUAGGCGGGCUGAAAUGGCCAGAAUACCUCAGUCUGUUUCUGAUCUUAAUCUCUUUUACUCAGUUCUUGAUCUUUUGUUUUGACAUCUCUUGGCCUCCAAAGAAACCUCCAGACCUACCCACAGCAUUUAGUUACUAAUGCUCAGUCCUGUUGUAGUCUUUCUGCAAUCUUAACAUCCUGAUUGUAAGUAGAGACAAUCUUGAUGUUUUAACUGAAAUGUUAGAAAAGACACAUUUAUUGAAAACCCCUCAGGUGGGGAGGGAGGUAUGCGAGAAAGGGAGUGAGAAUUUGUUUUGAGACAAUCAUUCUGUGUAGCCCAGAUGAUCCUCCUGCCUCAGUUCCUCGAGUGCUGAGAUUGCAGAUGUCUGCUGCCAUCCACAGAUUUUCUUUUCUAAGUUUUCACAGCUCUCAGAAUUAAUCCUAAAGAAAAGGUGAAGAAGCUUGCCCAAGGCUGUAUAACAAACAGCAGAAGAGAAAUUGACAUCUAGAUCUUUCUAAUCCAGGGCUUAAGCUGUUUGUCCUUCUAAUCCCAGGUUAGAGGUGCCAUCAGUCACGAGAUCCCUUUAUGACACUUGACAAAGGGGAACAUGUAUGUGUAUGUCCAGGCACUCGGAAGCACUGAUACUCCCAAGGAACAGGAGUGAUAAGAUGCUUGUCGGUAGGUCUGGUUCCUGGGUCAGCCCCUCCGUCUGUAGAGUCCAGACUGCGACGGCUGCCACCUUGCCAGAGGCAGCCAGGGUACUACCCUCAGUGGGUGUGUCUCCAUUGAGCUAACGUGAUGCUCUGUUCUAGCUGGUGGUGGGUACAGCGUGAGCCUUGCUAAAAGCUUCCGUCAGGAGCUGCUUUGACAGCCAAUCCUCAUGGGGACAGCAGGAGGUGGGAGAGACUGCAGGUGAUGUGUCAAGUCAGACCUUUAGAUAGGAGAAAACUCACUGCCCCUGCAGCUUUCUUCUUAAAGAAACUGCACAUGUGACCCACAGCCUGUGAAGCUGCAGGGCACAGCAGUGGCCACUGGGCUCGCAGGUCCUGGGGGAGAGGAUGCAUUACACAUGGCUCUGUAAUUAGGCAUGCUCAGACUCUUCACUGACCAGCUGCAGCAGGACACCCUCCGGGACACUGGUCCCUCUCCUUUCUCUUGUGAAUAGAUAGUUGCGGCCAGCGUUUGAUUUACUACCUGCACUUUGGUUCUCACUUUGUGUUGUCUUGACACAUCUUCCUUCCUUCCUUAAUUUUGAACCUGAGGGUGUUUUUUCCAAAGGCUGUUAUAUAGUUAACGUAGUACUGAACAUAAUCAUAGCUACUUCUCGAUAUUUCUUUCACCAGCCAGCAUCUUCAGACUUUAAUCCCAGUGCUUCUUCUAAGAACCCUCCCAGUAGACACUUCUGUUGUUUGGAAAUUAUCUUGAAGGGUAUGAGCUACAACAAGAAGAAACUAUGGGCAUUUGUAACAUGGACGGGCCUGCUUGUUUGUUGGGUUUUUUUCCCGCCUGGUGCCCCACAACUGUUUAGCCCCAAAGAAAAUCACACAUAGGUCUCCAUAAAUUAUAAGUUGAUUGGCCCAUUAGCUCUAGUCUCUCACUAGCUAACUCUCACAUCUUGAUUAACCCAUUUUUCUGAUCUAUGUUAGCCAUGUGGCUCAGUACCUUUCUUCUGUGGGGCAGAUCACAUCCUGCUGCUUCGGUGGUCUGGGUAGGAGUGGGAGGAGUCAGCUUCCUCCUUCUCAGAAUUCUCCUGUUCUCAUUAUAUCAUUUCUAUUUCCUGUCUGGUUUUCCUGCCUAUAUUUCCUGCCUGGCCAAUCAGCGUUUAUUUAUAACAUGAUUGACAGAAUACAGACAAUUCUCCCACAGGCCUUUUCAGGGUAAUGGAUAGAACUGAGGGUCAUUGUGUUAAGUGAAACAAGCCAGACUCAGAAAGACAAGUCAUACUGCAUGUGUCCUCUUACAUAUGGAAUCUAAAUUUAGAAACAAAAACAGCAUUGGGUGGCAGAGGAAUUAUCUGAGUGCCAGGCCAGUGUCCUCUACAGAGCUAGUUCCAGAACAGCCUGAAGUACACAGGGAAAUCCUGUCUCAAACCAACAACAAAAAUCACUGACCUAAUCCAUACAUUUACAUAAAAGACAUGGACAGCGUGAGGGGAGUGUUGGGAAGGAGAGACGGGUGAGGUGUGUGGAGAUGGCAUGGUGAAAGCCGCCCUUUGCACGGUGAGAUAAUGCUAGCAGUAGAAAGACGCGUGCAGGGCCUUGCCUGCGGUGCACAGGCAGCUCUCUGCCAGCCUGACCCGCUUGCAGACUGGACCACACCAUCCUGAGCUCUGAGCUUCUGCUGUCCCAGGUUCCAUGGGGGCGUUACAAUCAUUAACUUAGGAAUUGCUGUUGUUGGAAACUUGACUGCUGAGUCACUGGGCCUCUCUUUUGUUGAGAUGUUAAGUCCCUUGUAAAGUAU